ACAUCCAGAGAAUUUAGCAGAGAUGCUUUAGUGCCUUCGGGAACUCUGAGACAGGUGCUGCAUGGCUGUCGUCAGCUCGUGUUGUGAAAUGUUGGGUUAAGUCCCGNAACGAGCGCAACCCUUAUCCUUUGUUGCCAGCACGUAAUGGUGGGAACUCAAAGGAGACUGCCGGUGAUAAACCGGAGGAAGGUGGGGAUGACGUCAAGUCAUCAUGGCCCUUACGAGUAGGGCUACACACGUGCUACAAUGGCGCAUACAAAGAGAAGCGACCUCGCGAGAGCAAGCGGACCUCAUAAAGUGCGUCGUAGUCCGGAUUGGAGUCUGCAACUCGACUCCAUGAAGUCGGAAUCGCUAGUAAUCGUAAAUCAGAAUGUUACGGUGAAUACGUUCCCGGGCCUUGUACACACCGCCCGUCACACCAUGGGAGUGGGUUGCAAAAGAAGUAGAUAGCUUAACCUUCGGGAGGGCGUUUACCGCUUUGUGAUUCAUGACUGGGGUGAAGUCGUAACAAGGUAGGCGUAGUGCU
rnacentral:rRNA from 1 species